rnacentral:rRNA from 1 species
CUGGGGCAGCUACCAUGCAGUCGAGCGGUAACACAGGGAGCUUGCUCCCGGGUGACGAGCGGCGGACGGGUGAGUAAUGUCUGGGAAACUGCCUGAUGGAGGGGGAUAACUACUGGAAACGGUAGCUAAUACCGCAUAACGUCGCAAGACCAAAGAGGGGGACCUUCGGGCCUCUUGCCAUCAGAUGUGCCCAGAUGGGAUUAGCUAGUAGGUGGGGUAACGGCUCACCUAGGCGACGAUCCCUAGCUGGUCUGAGAGGAUGACCAGCCACACUGGAACUGAGACACGGUCCAGACUCCUACGGGAGGCAGCAGUGGGGAAUAUUGCACAAUGGGCGCAAGCCUGAUGCAGCCAUGCCGCGUGUAUGAAGAAGGCCUUCGGGUUGUAAAGUACUUUCAGCGGGGAGGAAGGUGUUGAGGUUAAUAACCUCAGCAAUUGACGUUACCCGCAGAAGAAGCACCGGCUAACUCCGUGCCAGACGC